GACGAACGCUGGCGGCGCGCUUAACACAUGCAAGUCGAACGGAAAGGCCUGCUUUCCCUUGUGGAUUGCGGGUACUCGAGUGGCGAACGGGUGAGUAACACGUGAGUGAUCUGCCCCCAACUUGGGUAUAAGCCUGGGAAACUGGGUCUAAUUCCCGGUAGGACUGCAGGGUGGUGCCUGUGGUGGAAAACGAUUUUCUAGUGGUUGGGGAUGAGCUCGCGGCCUAUCAGCUUGUUGGUGGGGUAAUGGCCUACCAAGGCGGCGACGGGUAGCCGGCCUGAGAGGGUGGACGGCCACAUUGGGACUGAGAUACGGCCCAGACUCCUACGGGAGGCAGCAGUGGGGAAUAUUACACAAUGGGCGGAAGCCUGAUGCAGCGACGCCGCGUGGGGGAUGACGGCCUUCGGGUUGUAAACUCCUUUCGACCGCGAGGAAGCCACCUGGUUGGAAGGGUGGUGACGGUAGUGGUAGAAGAAGCACCGGCUAACUACGUG
rnacentral:rRNA from 1 species